UGGUGAAGGAGGCCUUGCAGCAGGCUGAGCGCGCCCAGAGUUCAGUGACCGAGGCUCUGAAACAGGCCAGCGCUGACAUCAAGGGAACGCAAGACCUGCUGGUCUCCGAUCUGGAUUCAGAGCUGAAGGACAAGUACAGUAGUGUCGAGCAGGUGAUCACACAGAAAGCAGAAGGAGUGGCAGAGGCCAAGAAAAGAGCAGAGAAACUCCAACAGGAAGCCAAAACAUGGCUGCUACAGGCCAGCGACAAACUCCAGCUGCUAAAAAAUCCUGAGAAGAACUAUGAUGUAGAUCAGAAGCUGCUGGAGGACAAGGCCAAUGAACUGGUGGAUGUGGAUAAGGCUGUGAAAGAACUGCUUCAGGAGAUCAGUCACAAAGUCACCGUCUACAGCACCUGACUGUUUUAACACUACU